rnacentral:rRNA from 1 species
AUUGAACACUGGCGGCAGGCCUAACACAUGCAAGUCGAGCGGAUGAAGGGAGCUUGCUCCUGGAUUCAGCGGCGGACGGGUGAGUAAUGCCUAGGAAUCUGCCUGGUAGUGGGGGAUAACGUCCGGAAACGGGCGCUAAUACCGCAUACGUCCUGAGGGAGAAAGUGGGGGAUCUUCGGGCCUCACGCUAUCAGAUGAGCCUAGGUCGGAUUAGCUAGUUGGUGGGGUAAAGGCCUACCAAGGCGACGAUCCGUAACUGGUCUGAGAGGAUGAUCAGUCACACUGGAACUGAGACACGGUCCAGACUCCUACGGGAGGCAGCAGUGGGGAAUAUUGGACAAUGGGCGAAAGCCUGAUCCAGCCAUGCCGCGUGUGUGAAGAAGGUCUUCGGAUUGUAAAGCACUUUAAGUUGGGAGGAAGGGCAGUAAGUUAAUACCUUGCUGUUUUGACGUUACCAACAGAAUAAGCACCGGCUAACUUCGUG